ACAACUUUCUUCUCCACUCUAAUCCCUUCUUGGCUUCAGUUUCUGAAAAAUUUCUUUUCAAGUUUUAGAAGCAGCUUCUAAAAAGUGUUUAUACAGAUUUCUUGAAAGAGUUUUUGCCACAGCUCUUCUUGAAGUGUAAUGUAGCUUCUUUGGAAGGAAAACUGAAGCUCUAAAAGUAAAAAGCAGAAUUAAAAGUUCUCCCAAACAUUGACUUUAAGGGCAGGCAAAGCAAAAUGCAAAUCUUUAUUUUAUUUGUAUAAGAUUUCAACACUCAGGUGAUAACAGAUUGAGGACAAAGGUUCAAGUGGGUUGGAAGUUAAUUUGGUCUUGGCUCAUACUUCAUUGUUGGACAUGGGCCAUAAGAAGUUUGAAUAUGGAACCCAAAUUGAAACCCCUUUUGGGCAGCCUGUCUCUGACGACCUUAGUUUUAGUCCAACAAUGACAUUUUUAAAUUAUAAUAAGCGAGCAGUGCAACUCGUAUCAUAGCCUCCACUAGAAACGAGUGCACCUUACCAAAAUUUUGUUCAGUGUGAUUGCUGAAACUUUUAAGAUGUUCGAAGAUCAAGACCUGGGUUUCUUUGCCCAUUUUCUGGGCAUCUUCAUUUUUGUUCUGGUAGUAGCAUAUCAUUAUGUGAUGGCUGACCCAAAGUAUGAAGGCAAUUAAGAUCUGAA